GACAGAGGUGCCGAGCGUUAGGCGGAAUCACUGGGCUUAAAGCGUGUGUAGGCGGCCCGUUAAGUGCCUUGUGAAAUCCCCCGGCUCAACCGGGGAACGGCUGGGCAUACUGGCGGGCUUGGGUCGCUCAGGGGCAGACGGAACAGGCGGUGGAGCGGUGAAAUGCGUAGAUAUCGCCUGGAACGCCGAAGGUGAAAACAGUCUGCUGGGGGCGCACCGACGCUGAGACACGAAAGCCAGGGGAGCGAACGGG
rnacentral:rRNA from 1 species